UAGCGAAGGGGGCUAGCGUUGCUCGGAAUUACUGGGCGUAAAGCGCACGUAGGCGGCUCUUUAAGUCGGGGGUGAAAUCCUGGAGCUCAACUCCAGAACUGCCUUCGAUACUGAAGAGCUUGAGUCCGGGAGAGGUGAGUGGAACUGCGAGUGUAGAGGUGAAAUUCGUAGAUAUUCGCAAGAACACCAGGUGGCGAAGGCGGGCUCUGG
rnacentral:rRNA from 1 species